UCUCUCUUGAGUGGAUCCUGAGUACGACGGAGCACGUGAAAUUCCGUCGGAAUCUGGGAGGACCAUCUCCUAAGGCUAAAUACUCUCUAGUGACCGAUAGUGAACCAGUACCGUGAGGGAAAGGUGAAAAGUACCCCGGAAGGGGAGUGAAAGAGAACUUGAAACCGUGUGCUUACAAGUAGUCAGAGCCCGUUAAUGGGUGAUGGCGUGCCUUUUGUAGAAUGAACCGGCGAGUUACGAUUUGAUGCAAGGUUAAGCAGUAAAUGUGGAGCCGUAGCGAAAGCGAGUCUGAAUAGGGCGUUUAGUAUUUGGUCGUAGACCCGAAACCAGGUGAUCUACCCUUGGUCAGGUUGAAGUUCAGGUAACACUGAAUGGAGGACCGAACCGACUUACGUUGAAAAGUGAGCGGAUGAACUGAGGGUAGCGGAGAAAUUCCAAUCGAACUUGGAGAUAGCUGGUUCUCUCCGAAAUAGCUUUAGGGCUAGCCUCAAGUGAUGAUUAUUGGAGGUAGAGCACUGUUUGGACGAGGGGCCCCUCUCGGGUUACCGAAUUCAGACAAACUCCGAAUGCCAAUUAAUUUAACUUGGGAGUCAGAACAUGGGUGAUAAGGUCCGUGUUCGAAAGGGAAACAGCCCAGACCACCAGCUAAGGUCCCAAAAUAUAUGUUAAGUGGAAAAGGAUGUGGCGUUGCCCAGACAACUAGGAUGUUGGCUUAGAAGCAGCCAUCAUUUAAAGAGUGCGUAAUAGCUCACUAGUCGAGUGACACUGCGCCGAAAAUGUACCGGGGCUAAACAUAUUACCGAAGCUGUGGAUUGUCCUUUGGACAAUGGUAGGAGAGCGUUCUAAGGGCGUUGAAGCAUGAUCGUAAGGACAUGUGGAGCGCUUAGAAGUGAGAAUGCCGGUGUGAGUAGCGAAAGACGGGUGAGAAUCCCGUCCACCGAUUGACUAAGGUUUCCAGAGGAAGGCUCGUCCGCUCUGGGUUAGUCGGGUCCUAAGCUGAGGCCGACAGGCGUAGGCGAUGGAUAACAGGUUGAUAUUCCUGUACCACCUAUAAUCGUUUUAAUCGAUGGGGGGACGCAGUAGGAUAGGCGAAGCGUGCGAUUGGAUUGCACGUCUAAGCAGUAAGGCUGAGUAUUAGGCAAAUCCGGUACUCGUUAAGGCUGAGCUGUGAUGGGGAGAAGACAUUGUGUCUUCGAGUCGUUGAUUUCACACUGCCGAGAAAAGCCUCUAGAUAGAAAAUAGGUGCCCGUACCGCAAACCGACACAGGUAGUCAAGAUGAGAAUUCUAAGGUGAGCGAGCGAACUCUCGUUAAGGAACUCGGCAAAAUGACCCCGUAAC
rnacentral:rRNA from 1 species